CAGCCGUAAACUAUGCGCGUUAGGUGUACUGGUGACCACGAGUCACCGGGGUGCCGAAGGGAAACCGUGAAACGUGCCGCCUGGGAAGUACGGUCGCAAGGCUGAAACUUAAAGGAAUUGGCGGGGAGCACCACAACGGGUGGAGCCUGCGGUUUAAUUGGACUCAACGCCGGAAAUACUCACCGGAUAGGACAGACAUAUGAUAGUCGGGCUGAAGACUCUACUUGAUGAUCUGAGAGGUGGUGCAUGGCGUCAGUGACU
rnacentral:rRNA from 1 species